rnacentral:rRNA from 1 species
UGAAUACGAGACGCUAAGGCGUCGAAGUAGUGUAUGUCAUACUUCCAAGAAAAGCUUGCACUGUCAUAAGUAAAAAAUGCCUGUACCAUAACCGACACAGGUGGGUAGGUAGAGUAUACUAAGGGGCGCGAGAUAACUCUCUCUAAGGAACUCGGCAAAAUAACUCCGUAACUUCGGGAGAAGGAGUACCUUAUUCUAUAAGGUUGCAAUAACAAGAUCCAAGCAACUGUUUAUCAAAAACACAGGUCUCCGCUAAGUCGUAAGACGAUGUAUGGGGGCUGACGCCUGCCCAGUGCCAGAAGGUUAAAGAAGUCGGUUAGCAUUAGCGAAGCUGGUAACUGAAGCCCUGGUGAACGGCGGCCGUAACUAUAACGGUCCUAAGGUAGCGAAAUCCCUUGUCGGGUAAGUUCCGACCCGCACGAAAGGCGUAAUGAUUUGGAUACUGUCUCGGAGAGGGGCUCGGUGAAAUAGACUUGUCUGUGAAGAUGCGGACUACCUGCACCAGGACAGAAAGACCCUAUGAAGCUUUACUGUAACUUGAAAUUGAAAUUGGACUUUAUUCGCGCAGUAUAGGUGGGAGGUGUUGAUUAUAAUCUUGCGGGAUUAUUGGAGCCAUCAGUGAGAUACCACUCUUAUAAUGUUAGAUUUCUAACUUUGAAUCAUUAUCUGGUCAAAGGACAGUUUCAGGCGGGCAGUUUGACUGGGGCGGUCGCCUCCCAAACGGUAACGGAGGCGUACAAAGGUUUCCUCUGAACGGGUAGAAAUCGUAUCUAGAGUGUAAAGGCAUAAGGAAGCUUGACUGUGAGACCUACAAGUCGAACAGGGACGAAAGUCGGUCUUAGUGAUCUGACGGUACUGAGUGGAAAGGCCGUCACUCAACGGAUAAAAGUUACUCUAGGAUAACAGGCUGAUCUCCCCCAAGAGUUCACAUCGACGGGGAGGUUUGGCACCUCGAUGUCGGCUCAUCGCAUCCUGGGGCGGUAGUACGUCCCAAGGGUUGGGCUGUUCGCCCAUGAAAGCGGUACGCGAGCUGGGUUCAGAACGUCGUGAGACAGUUCGGUCCAUAUCCGGUGUAGGCGUUAGAAUAUUGAGAGGAGCCUUCUUUAGUACGAGAGGACCGAGAAGGACAUACCUCUGGUGUACCAGUUAUCGUGCCAACGGUAAACGCUGGGUAGCUAUGUAUGGAGUGGAUAACCGCUGAAAGCAUCUAAGUGGGAAGCCCACCUCAAGAUAAGUAUUCGC